rnacentral:lncRNA from 1 species
UGUGCUUAAGUUUAAAACGUUUUCUCUCUUUUUUUGUUUCUCUCCCCCUUUUUAUCAUUGUUUCUUUUGACUUUAUCUUUGUUUCUCUCCCCCUUUUUGAAUUUAUCUUUGUUUUUUUUGACUUUAUCUUUGUUUCUCCCCCCUUUGUCAUCAAUGACCACAAAUGUUCAACUUUUAGUGAGAAUAAAGUCAAUCAAAGUGAGGGUCAAAUUAUGGUUCAAUCUAGAUCACUUGCCUAUACCAUGUAAUUUGAUUUGAUCCAAGGACAAGCUUUUUCACACCUCAUAAAGUAUAAGGGUUAUCUUGACCAUGUUGAAUUACACAUCAUAAGCUCAUAUUCUAGAUUCAACACUAGGCUUGC